rnacentral:rRNA from 1 species
GGGGGAUGGGGUCGCGUCCUAUCAGCUUGUAGGCGGGUAAUGGCCCACCUAGGCUUCGACGGGUAGCCGGCCUGAGAGGGCGGACGGCCACAUUGGGACUGAGAUACGGCCCAGACUCCUACGGGAGGCAGCAGUGGGGAAUAUUGCGCAAUGGGGAAAACCCUGACGCAGCGACGCCGCGUGCGGGAUGAAGGCCUUCGGGUUGUAAACCGCUUUUGAUUGGGGAGCAAGCCUUUGGGUGAGUGUACCUUUCGAAUAAGCGCCGGGCUAACUACGUGCCCAGCAGCCGCGGGUAAAUA